GGCGGACGGGUGCGUAACGCGUAGGAAUCUGCCGAUUAGUGGGGGACAACUUGGGGAAACUCAAGCUAAUACCGCAUACGCCCUACGGGGGAAAGCGGGGGACCUUCGGGCCUCGCGCUAAUCGAUGAGCCUGCGUUGGAUUAGCUAGUUGGUAGGGUAAAGGCCUACCAAGGCGACGAUCCAUAGCUGGUCUGAGAGGACGAUCAGCCACACUGGGACUGAGACACGGCCCAGACUCCUACGGGAGGCAGCAGUGGGGAAUAUUGGACAAUGGGCGCAAGCCUGAUCCAGCAAUACCGCGUGUGUGAAGAAGGCCUGAGGGUUGUAAAGCACUUUUAAUCGGGAGGAAUAGCUGUUGGUUAAUACCCGGCAGUCUGACAUUACCGAUAGAAAAAGCACCGGCUAACUCCGUGCCAGCAGCCGCGGUAAUACGGAGGGUGCGAGCGUUAAUCGGAAUUACUGGGCGUAAAGCGUGCGUAGGCGGUUGUUUAAGUCAGAUGUGAAAGCCCCGGGCUUA
rnacentral:rRNA from 1 species